UCGGCUUCCCUCCAGUAGAAGGAAGACUGUGGCCCAGCAAUCGAUCAUUCCUCUCCCCACGAUUCUCCCCACUCACCUUCCUCCAAGCCCAUUGAGGCCUCUGUUCAUUCAGGUCUGAGUGCUCGCCCAUGGGUGGGUUGCCCUCCCGCUGAUGGCUGAUGGCAGAGUGUUCUUGCUCAUACCCUCUGCCUCAGGCCACAGAAUCCGCCUCAGGCCACAGAAGCCCCGAAGGCCCAGCCUUGGCCUUCAGGUGGCCGCCAUUCUUUCCACCAUGCCACGCUCACCUCCACCUUCAAGCCGUCCUCGAAGGCCUGGCUGAGGUUUUUCCAUCGGCCCGACCCUGGAGAGCAGGGGGCCGGUGGAGUUGUGGAUGCCACUACCAUCCAGGCAUAAUCGUUGGCAGGAAAAAAGUCGCUGCAGCCAGAAGGGCGAGAGAGCUCCUAGCGUCAGUGCGCAGGAUAGGGACUGAGGCUGCUCUGGGCCCCGCGUCCCCCACUGCCAGCUCACUGGGCACAGGACAAGGCCGUGGUGGGUAAAGGAAUCUGACAGCAUUCCUUCAAAUACAGGAAGAGUGAGAAGGUGAAACAAUCCUAAUGUAGAGGACAGACAGAAUGAAUAUAUGAGCUAGGGCAAGAUAAGAUACUUAUGAAGUGAUCUCAUCUCCAUUAAUAGCUAAUGUUCAGAGCAUGGGGUCAGCCAUUCUUUUGACCCACUCAUCAAGUUCAGGAACCUGUCAGAUCAUCACCUAUCUGAAGAGUGAAGCUUGAAUUAAGAUGACUUCUUCUCCACAUCAUUCCAGGAAUCAGGAACUGGUCCCCAUCCUGAGCCAAGUCAAUGACAUCCAGGCUACUUCCCCAUAAUUAAAUCUCAUUGGAAAAACCCAACCAAAGGUUACAAUCAGAGGACUUGAAGCUGACAUAUGUCUAUAUGUGUGUCUCAGAGUGUGUCAUCUGUGAGGAUGACCUAAUAAAUAUGGAUGGACUAUUUGUA